rnacentral:piRNA from 1 species
UGGAAACUCAUUUCCUCCACUCGCUCUCC